rnacentral:rRNA from 1 species
UGGGGAAUCUUGCGCAAUGGGCGAAAGCCUGACGCAGCGACACCGCGUGAGUGAGGAAGGUCUUCGGAUUGUAAAGCUCUGUCGGCAGGAAAGAUGGGAUGUCGUGCUAAUACCACGAUGUCUUGACGGUACCUGCAAAGGAAGCACCGGCUAACUCUGUGCCAGCAGCCGCGGUAAUACAGAGGGUGCAAGCGUUGUUCGGAUUUACUGGGCGUAAAGCGCGCGUAGGCGGUAUGUCAAGUCGGAUGUGAAAACCCAAGGCUCAACCAUGGAAGUGCAUUCGAAACUGGCAAACUAGAAUCUCGGAGAGGGUAGUGGAAUUCCUGGUGUAGAGGUGAAAUUCGUAGAUAUCAGGAAGAACAUCAGUGGCGAAGGCGACUACCUGGACGAAGAUUGACGCUGAGGUGCGAAAGCGUGGGGAUCAAACAGGAUUAGAUACCCACGUAGUCCCUGAGCGGGCUGGCAAGGCGCAU